AAGAGUGUAGUGCAAUUGGUUAGCAUAGUGAUCUCCAAAAUCAUUGGUAGGUGUUCAAGUCACCUCACUCUUG
rnacentral:tRNA from 1 species